CCUACGGGAGGCAGCAGUGAGGAAUAUUGGUCAAUGGGCGCGAGCCUGAACCAGCCAAGUAGCGUGAAGGAUGACUGCCCUACGGGUUGUAAACUUCGGUUAUAAAGGAAUAAAGUGAGGCACGGGUGCCUUUUUGUAUGUACUUUAUGAAUAAGGAUAAGAUAACUCCGUGCCAGCAGCCGCGGUAAUACGGAGGAUCCGAGCUUUAUCCGGAUUUUUUGGGUUUAAAGGGAGCGUAGAUGGGUUGUUAAGUCAGUUGUGAAAGUUUGCGGCUCAACCGUAAAAUUGCAAUUGAUACUGGCAGUCUUGAGUACAGUUGAGGUAGGCGGAAUUCGUGGUGUAGCGGUGAAAUGCUUAGAUAUCACGAAGAACUCCGAUUGCGAAGGCAGCUUACUAAACUGCCACUGACAUUGAUGCUCGAAAGUGUGGGUAUCAAACAGGAUUAGAUACCCCAGUAGUC
rnacentral:rRNA from 1 species